GACGAACGCUGGCGGCGUGCCUAACACAUGCAAGUGGAGCGACGAACCAGGCUUCGGCCUGGGGCAAGGCCGCGAACGGGUGAGUAACACGUGGGUAACCUGCCCUGAUGAUUGGGACAACCCGAGGAAACUCGGGCUAAUACCGAAUGUGCCCUCCGGCCUCAAGGCCGCUGGGGAAAGGAAGCUUCGGCCUCCGCAUCGGGAUGGGCCCGCGGCCCAUUAGCUUGUUGGUGAGGUAACGGCNCACCAAGGCGACGAUGGGUAGCUGGUCUGAGAGGACGAUCAGCCACACUGGGACUGAGACACGGCCCAGACUCCUACGGGAGGCAGCAGUGGGGAAUCUUGCGCAAUGCGCGAAAGCGUGACGCAGCAACGCCGCGUGGGGGAAGAAGGCCU
rnacentral:rRNA from 1 species